UGGGGAAUAUUGCGCAAUGGAGGAAACUCUGACGCAGCGACGCCGCGUGAGCGAAGAAGGCCUUCGGGUCGUAAAGCUCUGUUCUUGGGGACGAAAAAGAUGACGGUACCCAAGGAGAAAGCCCCGGCUAACUACGUGCCAGCAGCCGCGGUAAUACGUAGGGGGCGAGCGUUGUCCGGAAUUACUGGGCGUAAAGGGCGUGUAGGCGGCCAUGCAAGUCAAGUGUGAAAUGCCACGGCUUAACCGAGGCACUGCACAUGAAACUGUAUGGCUUGAGUGCAGGAGAGGGAAGUGGAAUUCCUAGUGUAGCGGUGAAAUGCGUAGAUAUUAGGAGGAACACCAGUGGCGAAGGCGACUUCCUGGACUGUAACUGACGCUGAGGCGCGAAAGCGUGGGUAGCAAACAGG
rnacentral:rRNA from 2 species